rnacentral:rRNA from 1 species
AUUGAACGCUGGCGGAAUGCUUUACACAUGCAAGUCGAACGGUAGAGGGGGCAACCCCUCGAGAGUGGCGAACGGGUGAGUAAUAUAUCGGAACGUGCCCAGUCGUGGGGGAUAACGUAGCGAAAGUUACGCUAAUACCGCAUACGAUCUACGGAUGAAAGCGGGGGACUCGUAAGAGCCUCGCGCGAUUGGAGCGGCCGAUGGCAGAUUAGGUAGUUGGUGGGAUAAAAGCUUACCAAGCCGACGAUCUGUAGCUGGUCUGAGAGGACGACCAGCCACACUGGGACUGAGACACGGCCCAGACUCCUACGGGAGGCAGCAGUGGGGAAUUUUGGACAAUGGGCGAAAGCCUGAUCCAGCCAUGCCGCGUGCAGGAUGAAGGCCUUCGGGUUGUAACUGCUUUGUACGGAACGAAAGGUACUUUUCUAAUAAGAAGCUCAUGACGGUACCGUAAGAAUAAG